UAAUUUAAAUGCUUGAUGUUCCAGUCCAGAUGUGGAAAUUGGUCCAUUUGCAGAUAGAUGUUCGACUGGGGAACAGCAUUUAGAGCCAUUCUGAAGCAUUUGGAUUGUUAAACUUUAGACAGGAGAUUCCUUUGUGACUUCCCAGAUCAGGGAAUGCUUCAUAAAGAACAUGGAAUUUGAGUAGAACUUUGAAGGACUUCAAUCAGUUCUGAAGUCUGAAAGGAAGAGUGUCAUAGUAGACAUACCAUGAAGUCAUGAAGACCCAGCUUUAAGACUUGCUUCUGAGGCAUCCUCUAUCAUACUGUGUUUGUUUUGAGUAUCAAAUGAAGGACUGGAUAUAAAAGUACAUUGGAAAUGUUAAGUGCUAUAUUGAUAAGAGCUAAGAUACUGCUGCUGAUGAUUAUUCAAAGGACCAUGGAGCUCCAGGGCAGAGAACUCUGAUUAAGACAACCAGAAGCGCCUCAAUGACUCUGAGGCUUGGAUCUUCUCAGAAGGAGAGAGGAGAGCAGAAGUUUAGCUUUUCCAUUUGAUAACUUUUCCUGGAACAAAACUGGCCCCUGGUUAAAGAGUAUUAUAGACUGCUGUGACUAUGUAAGUUUCAAAAGGUCAGAAUGAUGAACCCACCAGAAGUCUGGGAGCCAGAGUUUAUGUAGAGAUUGCAACCAGCUGAACGUGGUCCACCAGCACAGCCCUUGGAUCCAUCUCAGAGACUCAGAUAAUAGGUUUGGAAGACCCAGUUGUGGGAUUAUGCUUCUCCCUCCUGCUGCCUGCUUUUUAUACUUUUUGCAGCUCAUUAACACCUCUACCAAAGUAGGGCUGGAGAAAGGAAAAGAGAUGAAUCUUCAAUCAGGGCAUUUUACUCCUUGUUAGCCACUCGGGAAAGGAUUUUGGUGUGCAAAAUUGUAGGAAAAUGUGGCAAACACUGACACAUGCGCCAAGAACUGAGUUGUUCACCAUCAGGUUGUUGUUGUUCAGUCAUAUCCCACUCUUGGUGACCCCAUUUGGGGUUUCCUUG